rnacentral:rRNA from 1 species
GACGAACGCUGGCGGCGUGCCUAACACAUGCAAGUCGAACGAGGGUUUGGAAAGCUUGCUUUCCGAAACCUAGUGGCGGACGGGUGAGUAACGCGUGAGUAACCUGCCUUUCAGAGGGGAAUAACGUUCUGAAAAGAACGCUAAUACCGCAUAACGUACAGUUACCGCAUGGUAGCAGUACCAAAGGAGCAAUCCGCUGAAAGAUGGACUCGCGUCCGAUUAGCUAGUUGGUGGGGUAAAGGCCUACCAAGGCGACGAUCGGUAGCCGGACUGAGAGGUUGAACGGCCACAUUGGGACUGAGACACGGCCCAG